UACGUAGGGUGCAAGCGUUAUCCGGAAUCACUGGGCGUAAAGCGUGCGUAGGUGGCGUGUUAAGUGUGAUGUUAAAUCGUGUGGCUCAACCAUAUCGAUGUGUCGCAUACUGGCAUGCUAGAGGAAAGCAGAGGCAAGUGGAAUUGGUAGUGUAGCAGUGAAAUGCGUAGAUAUUACCAGGAACACCAAUGGCGAAGGCAGCUUGCUGGGCUUUUUCUGACACUGAGGUACGAAAGCGUGGGGAGCGAACAGG
rnacentral:rRNA from 1 species